GCAAGCAACUACAGCAGCGUACUACCGCAACAGGGAUUUGGCUAAGAAGUUUCUGAUCUUUAUUGCCGUCACUAUUCGGUUUUGACGUGAUUAUUUAGGAGCUCUUGUUGCCAGGCAGCUGAACUGGAGGCCCCGCAGGGUCCUCCGCUGGUAGGGAUCUUGUCUCUGAGGUUUGAGCUGCCGCUUCCCUGACGCCGGUAUCCCUGCACCGCGGAGUCCUGAGACCUCAGCCAGCUUAGGCUGAGUCACAUUCCUAUCGCUAAACUAAGCCCUCCUUGUGAAGCGAAAAGGCGGGGGCCACCGGGAACCCAGUCACGCAGGGAUCUCGGGCUCCCUGUUCCCUGGCACUCGCUGGCAAACCCUCCUCUGCUCCUCACGUGCCCGGUGCAGAGCUGUAGGCCGAACUUGCCCGAGUGGACACGGGACUGAAACGUGAACGCGGACCUUGUGGCCACGAUUCCACUUGGGAGCUUCCGCUUCCAUGUCUGUGAAGCUACAGGCGCGUGGGCGGUGCGCGUCACAGAGGAGUGUUCCAUAGUGUCCUGCAGGAUCUGUAACGCCAGCCAUGAGGAAGGAGCCUGGCCGCUCCUUUCUGUCUCAGCGCUAAAGGUAUGGAAAGAGACAAAACACCAUGACCAAAAGCAACUUAAGUUAACUUAUAGUUCCAGAGGGAUAAAGUCCAUUGAGAUAAAGAAGGCAUGAAAUGGCAGCAGGAGCUGGAAACAGAGAUCAUAUUUCAUCUGCACACAGGAAAGAGAGGGUAAAGCUUCCCAGAAGCAUAUCAGUAUGGUAAGUGUGACAGACUCAGAUUUGAUGCAAGUGGAAAAACCUCUUCUACCUACUCUUCACACCCAUGGUGGUCUCCCCACGGACCCAUCUCUCUCCUGGUAUGGAGGUCAGAGCUGAUGCAAUCAAUGCAAAUAUUGAUUUUAUCACACUCAGGGUUCCCAUUUACUUUUACCAGGAACGAAUGGGAUCCCAUCCAUCCUACAGUAAUGACUGUUGGUUAGACAGGGAUUUAACUUCUGGGAACCUGUAUGAGUCAACCUGAGUAAAACAUACACACACACACACACACACAAAAAAAAAAUCCACAGGCUUCUGAGACGGAAAACUAAACAAAUGCUGUCCAGGGACUAAGUCCACACCCAUCACUGAGAACCCAGAGAUGCGGGUCAGUCCAGAGCCUGUUCUCUCCCUCUCAGGACUCCUAGCUCACAUUGUUCCAUGCUGUCCUGUCACCAUGUUUUGUUUAUUUCUGCUUCUUCUGACCAUAACUGUUGUCAAAGCCUCACUGUUGACUGCUGCAGCAUUCCUAGCCCCAAGGGAAAGGGUUUAGUCGCCAGCGAAGAAGACAUUUCCAUGGGCAUGAAGUUUGAGUCGGAAGAAGAAUCAGGCAUGUACACUUUCAGGAAUCUAAAAUAAGUCAGAUUUAUUUUUAUUUUAAGUAAGGCUGUCCCACCUUGCCAUACGUCCCUCUCGCAUGUCUCCCAUAUUGUGAUGUGACCAGAGAAUCCUAGCAGAGCCAAAAAUUUUUAAAAAAUUAAAAAAUGGUGACACUCAUCUUGCAAGUUCAGCCAUCAGAAUGGAAGCAGUGUCACUGGUGAUUUGUGUGCCGCAGGAAAACAGACUAUGACACUGGUCUUCAAAGAACUCAAAAAGGUUCAUCUCACAAACCAGACCCAGGCCAAGGCUUCAUGCUGCAGAUGUCUUUGUCAGGGGCAGUUUGUCUCUAUCACAGAACAAUGUCUGUUCUGGCAAGAUGUUGUUUCCUUAGUAACAGCCAAAGACAUAGGGUCAUAAAAUGGCCAUGCGAUCAUUUUUAUGGGCUCUUUGUACUGGGGGACAUAGGAAGACCUGUCUCAAACAAACAUUUAACUACCAAAUUAAACAAGGCUUGACACCCAUGUUGCAUCUCUGGCACAUUAUUGCUGGUGGCUCCCUGGGAGAUACUUGAGGUCUGGAGAUGGCACUACAGUUAAAGCACUUGCUGCAUAAGCACCAGUAACAGAGUCAGAUCCCUAGAGCCCAAGUAAAUGCCAGGUGGGCAUGGCAACCCACCUGUAAUUCCAGCCUUGAAAAUCAGAGAUGGGGGACCCCAAAAUCAAGCUGGCUAACAAGACCUGCCUCCAUGAAUGAGGUGGAAAGCAAAAAAAAGGUGAUUCCUAACAUCAAACUUAGCCUCCACAGAUACACAUGCACACCCACCUGCAUCCAGUGCUUGUACAAACAAGCAGACAUGCAUACACAGACAGCAGACACCUGCAUCACUUACAUGUAAAAAGGGGGGGGGGUGAGAAAAGAAUGCCUAAAGGCUGGAAUGACUCAAUGGCAAAGAGCUAAAACCACCAGAAACUUUCAUGGCACAAAAAUAUCCCCCCAGGGCGGAGUGAAGCAAUGCUCAGUGCAGCUGCAGAUAGAUAAGAAGAGAUAUUCGUCAGGUGGUGG